UACGAAGGGGCUAGCGUUGCUCGGAAUCACUGGGCGUAAGCGCUCGUAGGCGGAUUGUUAAGUCGGGGUGAAAUCCUGGAGCUCAACUCCAGAACUGCCUUCGAUACUGGCAAUCUUGAGUCCGGGAGAGGUGAGUGGAACUCCGAGUGUAGAGGUGAAAUUCGUAGAUAAUUCGGAAGAACACCAGUGGCGAAGGCGGCUCACUGGUCCGGUACUGACGCUGAGGUGCGAAAGGCGUGGGGAGCAAACAGG
rnacentral:rRNA from 1 species